GAAAGAACCAACUUCAUCAUUUUGAACUAGGAACAAGCUUCAACAAUUAGGGUGUGAUGGAGACAAAAGUGUUAAGGUUUACUAUGUUUCUUCUCUUCCUAGUCUUAGCCGCUGAUGUGGCUGUGAAAAGAACAGAGGCAAGAGAAUGUUGGACAUCAAGCAGGACCUUCAAGGGUUUAUGCUUCAGCAGCAGUAACUGUGAAGCCGUGUGUUUCACUGAAGGUUUCUCCGGUGGCAAAUGCAAAGGCGUUCGUCACAAAUGCUACUGCAGUGAAAUAUGUCGAAAUUAAUUAACUCAUUCAACCUUUCCGGUUAAUAAAAGUUUAUCCUCCGUCUCUGUUCACAAAUUGUAGUCAUUUUUAGAUGCGGUUAUAAACGUUAUUAAUUAAUGGGAAGUACUAAUUAUGUC